AGUACUUCCAACAACGUGCCACGCGGCUGCCCUUUAAUUUGUAUGCAGUAUACGAUAGCAAUACAGUGUGGUCAAUUGUAAUUACAUGAUAAACAUAAUGCAGUAACUCAUGAGUGACCACUGUAAAUGUUUCAUCAUAUCAAUGUGAAGGACUACCCCUCCGUUGGACAAGUAGCGAUGCAGUUGGAAAAAGAACAUAUUCAACCCAUAUUUGCUGUGACAAAAAAUGUGGAAAAAAUGUACAAGCAACUCUCUAAACUGAUUCCAAAAUCUGAGGUGGGAGUUCUUUCCCAAGAUUCUGGAAUCUUCACACAGGCACGGGAAGAACAUGCAAACUCCACACAGGAAGGCUGGAGCCGGGACUGAAUCCACAAGCUCUGCACUGUGAGGUUGAUGCGCUAACCACUGGUCCACCAGGCCAACCGGCAGAGAACCUUCACUGGAAAUUAACCCUUUCAUGCACCCUGUAAUCUGAUAACAUGAUAAACUGUCCACUGUAGUAACCGCUGUCCAUGAAAGGGUUAA